CACGUAGGGGGCGAGCGUUGUCCGGAUUUAUUGGGCGUAAAGAGCGCGUAGGCGGCUCGGAAAGUCGGAUGUGAAAACCCGAGGCUCAACCUCGAGCUUGCAUCCGAUACUGCCGGGCUUGAGGCAGGUAGGGGAGAUCGGAAUUCCUGGUGUAGCGGUGAAAUGCGCAGAUAUCAGGAGGAACACCGGUGGCGAAGGCGGAUCUCUGGGCCUGUCCUGACGCUGAGGCGCGAAAGCUAGGGGAGCAAACAGG
rnacentral:rRNA from 1 species